rnacentral:lncRNA from 1 species
AAGAGUGUUGCAAUUCAACAUAACAGAGUGGACAAUAGGAUCACAUCAGUAGAAAAAGACACAAAUUAUCUUAAGUCCAGACUUUAACAAUGAUAUGCGCUAAUGGGUUACCCAAAUAUGUCCCUUGUAGUUUUUGUAGUUAGAGACUUACACUUGAAAUAUUUAUGAAGUUAGUAAGCAAAACAUUAUCUGUCGCAGUGUACUCAUUUCUCUCAGGCCAAUCAAAAUGCUUCGACAGUGCACCCUGAUCCACCCCUUCGAGUAAUGCAACUAUGAGAAAAAAGAAGAGAUAUUAGCUAAUAACAACACACACACAUGAACACAUACGCAUAAUUAGCAACCUACAAUCAUGUAUUUUCUCACUUAGUCCACUCAUACCUAUAAUCCAUAGAGACUGGCCAUCUAUAAAUUUGUAACAUAGCUCGGUAUUCAAUCCGAGGCUUCCAUCUCAUAUUUUAACUACAACAAUCUAAAAAACCAACCAAAAAAACAUAAACUCCCAAUCUGCAAACUAUCCCA